rnacentral:rRNA from 1 species
UACGUAGGGUCCGAGCGUUGUCCGGAAUUAUUGGGCGUAAAGGGCGCGUAGGCGGUUAUAUUAGUCUGGUGUGAAAGACCUGGGCUUAACCUGGGAUAGGCAUUGGAAACGGUAUAGCUAGAGUGUGUGAGAGGGAAGGGGAAUUUCCGGAGUAGCGGUGAAAUGCGUAGAUAUCGGAAAGAACACUAGUGGCGAAGGCGACUUUCUGGCACACAACUGACGCUGAGGCGCGAAAGCGUGGGUAGCGAACAGG